AAUUAAUGAGGCACGACUCUUCAUCUGAAAUGUUCAAAUGAAAUAGAAUUUUGGUCUCCCUCCAAAAACAUAUCUUGUGAACAUUCAUUCACAAUUCCAGAGUAUCAGCAAAAUAAUAUCCCUACCCCAAAUUGGGAAGUUUCAGAUGAGAGGUUUUUGGAGAAAGUGUAUAGUGUUGCAGAAGUAACUGUUGCGGGACAAAAAUUUUCAUGAAGGCUGCAACAAGACGGAAGUUGGUGAGAUCUAAAGCAGAGAUAGACUCAAUCGAAUUGGACUAAACCCCAAAGCAUGUCAUGGGCAAAGAUAGCGUCUUUUGACAAAUUAAUGGAUAUCAAUCAAUACUGGUGAAGCAAAGACAUUAGUUAUUUUCCUUCAUUAAAACGAGCGGCUCUUGCACUUCACAAUAGAGCUCCCUACCCACAUUCUAACAAAAACAAACAAAGACUUUGCGGCUAAAGAUACAGAGAGUGGGCAAUGAAGAUUGGAGAGACUCAGAAAUCACCAACAAUAUGAUCAUUUCUGAUGGCAGCCAUCUCCAACUCUGGCAAGGUGCCUUGGAGACAUACAUAAAUAGUGGAUUAUCCUAAAAGAGACUGCAAUGGAAUUUUGCCGGACUUGUGGGAUGUUAUUGCAGUAUGAAUUGCCGCAUAUGGACCGCCCCGCCAGAUUCUUUUGUCCAACA